GGAGGAUCUGAUGUUGCAUUUCAUGUUCAAAAGCAAUUUGAAAGCAGAAAUCCCCAUUCCUGGUAAGGUUCGUCUUUUUUCUCUAAAACCUUCCACCAGUUGGACAAGGAUUACUCACAUAAUGGAAGCCUCAGGACUCUUGCUGCUGUUUUUGCCAUUGGGAUUUGCAGCCCUGGAAACAAGAUCCUGUGCUUGGUGGUGCCCUCCAAACCCUCCGUGUAUCAAUGCCGAUAACUGCCGUUGCUUUCCAGGAUUUGGUUCUUCAUCUGAGGUGACAUUCACUGGCCCCUUGGAGAGUUGUGAUGUAUACGUGUGUCAUUUAAUAUUGAAGGAAAAGUAAGUUUUAUCAGAGAAAAAAAGAUGCGAUAACUGCACAGUCCUUCCAUGACCCAAAAGGUAUCCUAAAGUUUCCUUUGUGCUUUUGCGUAUGAGUGUCUCAUGGAGAUUUAUAUACUAGGUGAACAUGAAGAGGAGAUUCUGCUGCUAAUGUAACUGGAUCCUGUCCCCUCCCUGGGAGCACACUU
rnacentral:lncRNA from 1 species